CCCUUAGAUGUUCUGGGCCGCACGCGCGCUACACUGAUGAAUGCAACGAGCUCUACCCUUGACCGAAAGGCCCGGGUAAACUUGUGAAGCUUCAUCGUGAUGGGGAUAGAUUAUUGCAAUUAUUAAUCUUCAACGAGGAAUUCCUAGUAAGCGCGAGUCAUCAGCUCGCGUUGAUUACGUCCCUGCCCUUUGUACACACCGCCCGUCGCUCCUACCGAUUGAAUGGUCCGGUGAAAUCUUCGGAUUGCUGACCAAGAUCCAGCAAUGGAGCUUGGUUGCGAGAAGUUGAUUAAACCUUAUUAUUUAGAGGAAGGAGAAGUCGUAACA
rnacentral:rRNA from 1 species